rnacentral:rRNA from 1 species
CCUACGGGUGGCAGCAGUGGGGAAUAUUGGGCAAUGGAGGCAACUCUGACCCAGCAACGCCGCGUGAAUGAUGAAGGUCUUCGGAUUGUAAAGUUCCGUGAUGGGGGAUGAACACAAUGACGGUACCCCAAUAGCAAGCCACGGCUAAAUACGUGCCAGCAGCCGCGGCAAUACGGAGGUGGCAAGCGUUAUCCGGAAUGACUGGGGGUAAAGGGUGCGUAGGUGGUUUAGUAAGUUGGCGGUGUAAUUCCGGGGCUCAACCUCGGCGCUACCGCUAAUACUGUUCGACUAGAGUGCAGGAGGGGUAGGUGGAAUUCCUGGUGUAGCGGUGGAAUGCGUAGAUAUUAGGAAGAACAUCAGGGGCGAAGGCGACUUACUGGACUGUAACUGACGCUGAGGCACGAAAGCGUGGGGAGCAAACAGGAUUAGAUACCCUGGUAGUC